rnacentral:rRNA from 1 species
CACGGGGGGAGCAAGCGUUGUUCGGAAUCACUGGGCGUAAAGGGCGUGUAGGCGGUUUGGUAAGUGGGACGUGAAAUCCCUCGGCUCACCCGAGGACCUGCGUCCCAUACUGCCAGGCUCGAGUACGGGAGAGGAUGAAGGAAUUCCUGGUGUAGCGGUGAAAUGCGUAGAUAUCAGGAGGAACACCGGUGGCGAAGGCGUUCAUCUGGCCCGAUACUGACGCUGAGGCGCGAAAGCUAGGGGAGCAAACGGG